GGUGGUUCUCGGGUGAUGCACCCCAGAAUCAGGCUCCUGCUUCUCUGGUUCCGGGUGCCACCCAAGAACCACA
rfam:Myotis davidii contig127975, whole genome shotgun sequence.